rnacentral:tRNA from 3 species
AAUUAAUGAACUUGAUAUAAGUGUAUAUUUUGAAAAUAUAAAAAAGAAGUAAAAUCUUCUAUUAAUUU